ACUAAGCGUACACGGUGGAUGCCCUGGCAGUCAGAGGCGAUGAAGGACGUGCUAAUCUGCGAUAAGCGUCGGUAAGGUGAUAUGAACCGUUAUAACCGGCGAUUUCCGAAUGGGGAAACCCAGUGUGAUUCGUCACACUAUCAUUAACUGAAUCCAUAGGUUAAUGAGGCGAACCGGGGGAACUGAAACAUCUAAGUACCCCGAGGAAAAGAAAUCAACCGAGAUUCCCCCAGUAGCGGCGAGCGAACGGGGAGCAGCCCAGAGCCUGAAUCAGUGUGUGUGUUAGUGGAAGCGUCUGGAAAGGCGCGCGAUACAGGGUGACAGCCCCGUACACAAAAAUGCACAUGCUGUGAGCUCGAUGAGUAGGGCGGGACACGUGGUAUCCUGUCUGAAUAUGGGGGGACCAUCCUCCAAGGCUAAAUACUCCUGACUGACCGAUAGUGAACCAGUACCGUGAGGGAAAGGCGAAAAGAACCCCGGCGAGGGGAGUGAAAAAGAACCUGAAACCGUGUACGUACAAGCAGUGGGAGCACGCUUAGGCGUGUGACUGCGUACCUUUUGUAUAAUGGGUCAGCGACUUAUAUUCUGUAGCAAGGUUAACCGAAUAGGGGAGCCGAAGGGAAACCGAGUCUUAACUGGGCGUUAAGUUGCAGGGUAUAGACCCGAAACCCGGUGAUCUAGCCAUGGGCAGGUUGAAGGUUGGGUAACACUAACUGGAGGACCGAACCGACUAAUGUUGAAAAAUUAGCGGAUGACUUGUGGCUGGGGGUGAAAGGCCAAUCAAACCGGGAGAUAGCUGGUUCUCCCCGAAAGCUAUUUAGGUAGCGCCUCGUGAAUUCAUCUCCGGGGGUAGAGCACUGUUUCGGCAAGGGGGUCAUCCCGACUUACCAACCCGAUGCAAACUGCGAAUACCGGAGAAUGUUAUCACGGGAGACACACGGCGGGUGCUAACGUCCGUCGUGAAGAGGGAAACAACCCAGACCGCCAGCUAAGGUCCCAAAGUCAUGGUUAAGUGGGAAACGAUGUGGGAAGGCCCAGACAGCCAGGAUGUUGGCUUAGAAGCAGCCAUCAUUUAAAGAAAGCGUAAUAGCUCACUGGUCGAGUCGGCCUGCGCGGAAGAUGUAACGGGGCUAAACCAUGCACCGAAGCUGCGGCAGCGACGCUGAUGCGUUGUUGGGUAGGGGAGCGUUCUGUAAGCCUGCGAAGGUGUGCUGUGAGGCAUGCUGGAGGUAUCAGAAGUGCGAAUGCUGACAUAAGUAACGAUAAAGCGGGUGAAAAGCCCGCGUCGCCGGAAGACCAAGGGUUCCUGUCCAACGUUAAUCGGGGCAGGGUGAGUCGACCCCUAAGGCGAGGCCGAAAGGCGUAGUCGAUGGGAAACAGGUUAAUAUUCCUGUACUUGGUGUUACUGCGAAGGGGGGACGGAGAAGGCUAUGUUGGCCGGGCGACGGUUGUCCCGGUUUAAGCGUGUAGGCUGGUUUUCCAGGCAAAUCCGGAAAAUCAAGGCUGAGGCGUGAUGACGAGGCACUACGGUGCUGAAGCAACAAAUGCCCUGCUUCCAGGAAAAGCCUCUAAGCAUCAGGUAACAUCAAAUCGUACCCCAAACCGACACAGGUGGUCAGGUAGAGAAUACCAAGGCGCUUGAGAGAACUCGGGUGAAGGAACUAGGCAAAAUGGUGCCGUAACUUCGGGAGAAGGCACGCUGAUAUGUAGGUGAAGUCCCUCGCGGAUGGAGCUGAAAUCAGUCGAAGAUACCAGCUGGCUGCAACUGUUUAUUAAAAACACAGCACUGUGCAAACACGAAAGUGGACGUAUACGGUGUGACGCCUGCCCGGUGCCGGAAGGUUAAUUGAUGGGGUUAGCGCAAGCGAAGCUCUUGAUCGAAGCCCCGGUAAACGGCGGCCGUAACUAUAACGGUCCUAAGGUAGCGAAAUUCCUUGUCGGGUAAGUUCCGACCUGCACGAAUGGCGUAAUGAUGGCCAGGCUGUCUCCACCCGAGACUCAGUGAAAUUGAACUCGCUGUGAAGAUGCAGUGUACCCGCGGCAAGACGGAAAGACCCCGUGAACCUUUACUAUAGCUUGACACUGAACAUUGAGCCUUGAUGUGUAGGAUAGGUGGGAGGCUUUGAAGUGUGGACGCCAGUCUGCAUGGAGCCGACCUUGAAAUACCACCCUUUAAUGUUUGAUGUUCUAACGUUGACCCGUAAUCCGGGUUGCGGACAGUGUCUGGUGGGUAGUUUGACUGGGGCGGGUCUCCUCCUAAAGAGUAACGGAGGAGCACGAAGGUUGGCUAAUCCUGGUCGGACAUCAGGAGGUUAGUGCAAUGGCAUAAGCCAGCUUGACUGCGAGCGUGACGGCGCGAGCAGGUGCGAAAGCAGGUCAUAGUGAUCCGGUGGUUCUGAAUGGAAGGGCCAUCGCUCAACGGAUAAAAGGUACUCCGGGGAUAACAGGCUGAUACCGCCCAAGAGUUCAUAUCGACGGCGGUGUUUGGCACCUCGAUGUCGGCUCAUCACAUCCUGGGGCUGAAGUAGGUCCCAAGGGUAUGGCUGUUCGCCAUUUAAAGUGGUACGCGAGCUGGGUUUAGAACGUCGUGAGACAGUUCGGUCCCUAUCUGCCGUGGGCGCUGGAGAACUGAGGGGGGCUGCUCCUAGUACGAGAGGACCGGAGUGGACGCAUCACUGGUGUUCGGGUUGUCAUGCCAAUGGCACUGCCCGGUAGCUAAAUGCGGAAGAGAUAAGUGCUGAAAGCAUCUAAGCACGAAACUUGCCCCGAGAUGAGUUCUCCCUGACUCCUUGAGAGUCCUGAAGGAACGUUGAAGACGACGACGUUGAUAGGCCGGGUGUGUAAGCGCAGCGAUGCGUUGAGCUAACCGGUACUAAUGAACCGUGAGGCUUAACC
rnacentral:rRNA from 1 species